rnacentral:rRNA from 1 species
GACGAACGCUGGCGGCGUGCUUAACACAUGCAAGUCGAACGAUGAAGAAGAGAAACGCGAACUUCGGUUCAAAUUUCACUUCGGAUUAGUGGCAGACGGGUGAGUAACGCGUGAGCAACCUACCUCUUACAAAGGGAUAGCCUCGGGAAACCGUGAUUAAUACCAUAUGACACCUUCAUAAGUCAUCUUAAGAAUGUUAAAGCUACGGCGGUAAGAGAUGGGCUCGCGUCCCAUUAGGUAGUUGGUGAGGUAACGGCCCACCAAGGCGACGAUGGGUAACCGGCCUGAGAGGGUGAACGGUCACAUUGGAACUGAGACACGGUCCAAAAUCCUACGGGAGGCAGCAGUGGGGAAUAUUGCACAAUGGAGGGAACUCUGAUGCAGCGACGCCGCGUGAGCGAUGAAGGAAUGCGUUUAGUAAAGCUCUGUUCUAUGGGAAGAAAAGGACUGUACCAUAGGAGAAAGCCCCGGCUAAAUACGUG